rnacentral:rRNA from 1 species
AUUGAACGCCGGCAGCAGGCCUAACACAUGCAAGUCGAGCGGCAGCGGGAAAGUAGCUUGCUACUUUUGCCGGCGAGCGGCGGACGGGUGAGUAAUGCCUGGGGAUCUGCCCAGUCGAGGGGGAUAACUACUGGAAACGGUAGCUAAUACCGCAUACGCCCUACGGGGGAAAGCAGGGGACCUUCGGGCCUUGCGCGAUUGGAUGAACCCAGGUGGGAUUAGCUAGUUGGUGAGGUAAUGGCUCACCAAGGCGACGAUCCCUAGCUGGUCUGGGAGGAUGAUCAGCCACACUGGAACUGAGACACGGUCCAGACUCCUACGGGAGGCAGCAGUGGGGAAUAUUGCACAAUGGGGGAAACCCUGAUGCAGCCAUGCCGCGUGUGUGAAGGAGGCCUUCGGGUUGUAAAGCACUUUAAGGGGGGAGGAAGGUUCGUUGGCUAAUAUCCAACGGAAUUGACGCUACCCCCAGAAUAAGCACCGGCUAACUCCGUGCCAGCCGCCGCAGUAAGAC